AUGGUUCAGCAAGUAAUCGAGUUCGGAACUCGAAAUCCAACUUAGGAGUUCUGCCUUCGGCGCCAAAUGGUACUCCCGAGACUGUUUCUACUCACAAUGUUUAGGAGGGGCGGAUCCAAAUUCGACUAGGAGAGAUGAAGAUGAGGAACGGAUUCGCCAAAGGAAGCUCGAAGAAGCGCUGGAAGUCAAGCCUCUCAACCGCAUCAUCGCUGCCUACCUCAACUAUCCAUAUGCUGCAGAAGAGGAUGUCAAAAGAUAUGAAAGAUCUUUUUAAAAGCUUCCACCCGCCCAAGAUAUGUAUGGCGAAGACGAUAGAUGUCCAUUGAACUGAGUUUGGAAGAUGUGAAGAGGGUUGAUUUGUAUUAUGGAUUCCAAUUUGAGAAGGAAUAAACCAUUGAAACAACCUACACUACAAAUCCUUGAUCCAAUAUGCCGGUAAGCUUCAAUGUGUAAUACUACUAGGCUUCAAGUAAGGCAAGAUGAACCGGAUCUUGCUGUGGAGCUUGGUUGUGGCUUGUGUUAGUGUGCUGCUGUUGAGCCAUAACUGCACCACUGCUGACUACAUAAGACAAAAUGCUUGAACAAAUAAAUAAUUCAGUAACUUGGACUUCUAUUCAGUUGAUUAUAUGAAGAAUUAUGACACCUUGAAAAUAUUGAUAAGCAAAAGAAUUGAGCUCACGCACCCUGAUAUCUUAAAAGGCUAAUACAACUCAGCAGGUCUAGAUUUCAAACUAUUUCUGUCAGCUUCACGACUAUUGCUGAGAUUUUAUCUUGACAAAAUUGGACAUUUAUCUGAUUUUAUUGUUAAGAAACGUAAAUUAAAUGUUGCUUGCAAAGCCCUAGUGUUUUCUUAGUGUUAAUAGUUUCUUUAAGAUUUACUGCUUUAUGUAUUUUUUUUUUUAAUUUCAUUACAUCUUUUACAUGUGAAGCCCCUGUAGUAACUUGGUAAUAGUCUUUUAAGAUUCGCCGCUAUAGACAUUAUCAAAAUUGGUGCCCUCUUGCAGGGUCGAUAUUUUGUCGCAUUUUGGAAACUGAGGAAAAUAUCAUCAAAGAUGGAUGCUGCUGACUAAAUGCAUCUCAUUGGUUUCUUACAAUCUUUCUUUCUUCAGUUUAUUGUUGUGCAAGUUACUUUCCCAUUGUUUAAGUUGUGUAACACCUCUCAUCGUGGCGGCGUCCUGAAGUCUUAUUGGGCUUAUUUAACUGCUGUGAACAAUUUCAUGCAUUUGAUUUUUUUUCUCUUUAUUGUGUGUUUUUUUUUUCCUGCUGAGGUUUUGUGGAUUAUAUUUAGAUUUGAUGUUUAGUUUUGCUCAAAAUACUAGCGUAUUUAUUUGCAAGUCAUUGUAACUCCAUUUAGAAACUUGGAGUUGUUGAAAUUACCUUAAAUCUGCACUCAUGAGAGAGUAUAGGAAACUAUCAAUGAGCUAACGUACAGAAUACUUUAUUGUGCUUCUUUCCAGAAGUGUGACGGUUGGGACUGACAAAAUGAAAUGUUUUUGGGUAAGGAAGGGGUCACACCAAACUUUAUAAUAAUAGUAUAUAUCUCGUUCUCUCUAUCGAUGGGAGGCAAUAUUUUUCCCAGUUAUGGUAAGUAACCAUCAAUGUUUGCUAUAGGGAGAGGUUGUUUGAGUUCUCUUAUUUCUCUUUUGCAAGAACCUCUGCAGAGAUCUCUUCAUGGAAACACCUGGAAGACUGUACAGUUGAGAUAGUGAUGGUGCUUUAGGCCCUCUGCUGCUGGUCUUCUUAAUCCUCUCUUCCAUUUCUCGACCUGCAAGCCAAAUUAUGGCUCUGGCCUACAGAUACAGACACAUUCAGAGGAAUCACCUGAAGCUCGGUUAUGUCGCAAAUAUUCAUCUGCCCAUUGUGAAAAAAGGCUAUAGGUUGCUUCUGGGUUGCUGCUUUCGAUGCCUCAGAUUGUCAUGCACCAAAUUUUUAUCAAGGGAGACUUCAUGAUUAAUUGAAGCAACGCAUAAGAUUCAUGGGACAAACUGCAAAAAAAUAGAGGGAAAAAGAUGUACAUAUUGCAAAUCAUGCACGCACAUAACAUACGCUAUUAGUCACAGUUUAUUGUCUCUUAGUGUAGUUUUAUUGUAUUCUCGUGUUUGGAUUUUUUGUUCUAUCAUUCCUUCGAUUGUGUUUCCAUUUGCAGAAAUGGAUGUAACCAAAAAGGACAAACUACAAGAGAUAUGAUCAUAAGCCAAUAUCAAGUUCCAUUGAUCUAUUUGUACUUUUCAUCAACGCAUGCUUUCACUAACCCAUCUCACCAAUGGUAGUCAAAAAUUAACUCAAAAAGUUACCAUCACCCCUAGCCAAACCUAUAUAGAACCAAUAUGUAAAGAAGGAAAGAGAUAGUUUGAAUUAGGUAUGAGAGAGAGUUUGUUUUGUGAUGAGUAACACCCAGAAUUCCAAAAGCAGGAGGCCUUUUGGCAUUGAUGGCACCCUUAAUCCACGAAAUUAUGAUAGUUGAAGGCAUUAAAUAUAAAAUAAUCACAAGGAAUGCUCACAAUAUGUCAAUUUCUGGAUUUCCAAAUAAUAAUACAAAGUUGCAUGCAGAACAUCUCACGUAUUAGACAAUGUAAGUUGAAAGAUUUCAAGUGAUAUAAUGAUCUGAGUUGUACAUAUAAAGUAGAAUAACACUACUUCAAGUUUUAUUGAUAUUUACCUCACAAGCAGCAGAUGGAGCAUAAAACUCCUCAAAUUCAGUAAUGCUUCAAGUUGUCCAGCUACUCAUGUAGAUCCUUUAAUGGGGAGCUCAUCCACAUCCUGCUCAGUAGGAGUGGAUUUAAUGAGCUGCGGGCUCUCUUAGUAAUGCUCCCCAUUAUCUGAUGACACCAUACUUUUCCUAAUAUAUGCCAAACAACAAUUUCAACAGUUAGCAAAAGCCAGUUAACAUAACUUAUAAAA